rnacentral:rRNA from 1 species
AUUGAACGCUGGCGGCAUGCCUUACACAUGCAAGUCGAACGGUAACAGGCCGCAAGGUGCUGACGAGUGGCGAACGGGUGAGUAAUGCAUCGGAACGUGCCCAGUAGUGGGGGAUAGCCCGGCGAAAGCCGGAUUAAUACCGCAUACGACCUGAGGGUGAAAGGGGGGGAUCGCAAGACCUCUCGCUAUUGGAGCGGCCGAUGUCAGAUUAGCUAGUUGGUGGGGUAAAGGCCUACCAAGGCAACGAUCUGUAGUUGGUCUGAGAGGACGACCAGCAACACUGGGACUGAGACACGGCCCAGACUCCUACGGGAGGCAGCAGUGGGGAAUUUUGGACAAUGGGCGAAAGCCUGAUCCAGCAAUGCCGCGUGCAGGAAGAAGGCCUUCGGGUUGUAAACUGCUUUUGUAAGGGAAGAAAUCUUCUGGGUUAAUACCUCGGGAGGAUGACGGUACCUGAAGAAUAAGCACCGGCUAACUACGUGCCAGCAGCCGCCGUAAAAC